ACAUUUGAGCUGUCAUAGAUUCAGCUGUACUGAAGUCAGGGAGCUGCAGCUCCUAUCAAAACUCUCUUGAGGUUCUGUGUCUGUCAUUUUAGACAUUCAGGCAAAGAUGAGAUAAAGAAUUACAAGGAAUUACUAUCACUUCUGCAAGUAUUAUUGGUACUCCACUCAUCUUCUCGAAGGACUACAGGAUCAAAAUGGUCCCAGCUGAUCAUUACCAAACCUUACAGUUCAGUUCAUCUUAGCAGCAUCUGGAGAGACUUGCAUGGAGUGGAUGUGAUGUGAUUCCUUGAAGGAGAUAAGAACAAAAGAAUCCUGAUGUACAAUGUGAAACUGAAUGACUGUUUCCCGGAGUUAAUCCUACUGACUGCAUAACAAACAAUACAAUGUUUUGCAGCGUGUAAUCAGGAUUUUAUCAAGAAACAAUAUGACACCAGAAAGGAGGGAGAAAGAAGACACUAGGAAGGGCAUGGCUCACUUCUCACUCACACUAGCCAGAAAAGGAGGUUCCGAAAUAACCUAAAGAGGCUGUGCAGCCUGGCUGGAAGAGAGAAGAGAAGUUCAGCAAGUUCAGUGAGAGCGGCUGUUCCUGUGAGGUUUCCAGCUGAAGGGCCUUAACCAGGAUGACACUAAUUCUGCAGAUCUCAUUCUCCUCAUUUGUGAAACUCAGAGAAGUUUCAGAUCAAUUUCCUCAAACCAACAUCUGGACUUGGACAUCAGAAUUUUGGAAACAAUGCAUGAGUUUUACUAUGCCUGUCUUGGUCAUGACAGCAGCACUCAGUAGAAGAUGGAAUUUUGGCUUUCAUGGUAGCCAAAGAAUCGUGGUGUCUCUACAUAACUGCUGAUCCUCUUUCUUUCCAUGGAGCCACUCUGAACUCUAUACCGUCAUUCUAGCCAUCCAAUCUCACUUUCCAAAGCACUUCACUUUUGUCGAUUAGUUGUUGUUUUAAAGUGAUACUGUGAAAAGAUGGGAAAAGAGAAUACAUUCAAGAGAGGCUUUUGGUAGUAAUUUUUUACAUAGUCAGCGCAGUGCUUUUCUUCACAGACCAUUCCAUUUUUAUUUAUUUAUUUAUUUAUUUAUUUUCUAGAGAAUAAAACAUUCCUCAGGACGUAUUUAUCUGAGGAUCACUACUUUCCUAAAAUAUAGCUUCUCUUCUGAUUGUAGUAUCAUAGUCAGUAUAGAAGUCUACUAACUACUGGAAAUUUUUUAAUUUCUUCUUUUUUAAAUAUAAUAGCUUUUGAAUUAUAAACAAUUUAGAAUAAGUAAAGUAUGAUUUACUACUUAGUGACUGAGUGCAGUUGUACCUGUAAGCAACAGAAUGUGCAGUAAUCAUAAAAAUGCUCACAAAAUAUAAUCAGCUCACCAAAAAAAAA